rnacentral:rRNA from 1 species
AUUGAACGCUGGCGGAAUGCUUUACACAUGCAAGUCGAACGGCAGCACGGACUUCGGUCUGGCGGCGAGUGGCGAACGGGUGAGUAAUGUAUCGGAACGUGCCCAGUCGUGGGGGAUAACGUAGUGAAAAUUACGCUAAUACCGCAUACGAUCUAUGGAUGAAAGCGGGGGAUCGCAAGACCUCGCGCGAUUGGAGCGGCCGAUAUCAGAUUAGGUAGUUGGUGGGGUAAAGGCCCACCAAGCCAACGAUCUGUAGCUGGUCUGGGAGGACGACCAGCCACACUGGAACUGAGACACGGUCCAGACUCCUACGGGAGGCAGCAGUGGGGAAUUUUGGAAAAUGGGCGAAAGCCUGAUCCAGCCAUUCCGCGUGCAGGAUGAAGGCCCUCGGGUUGUAAACUGCUUUUGUACAGAACGAAAAGGUUUCUACUAAUACUAGGAGCUCAUGACGGUACUGUAAGAAUAAGCACCGGCUAACUACGUGCCAGCAGCCGCGGUAA